rnacentral:rRNA from 1 species
UACGUAGGGGGCAAGCGUUGUCCGGAAUUAUUGGACGUAAAGCGCGUGUAGGCGGUCCGCUAAGUCGGCUGUGAAAGUCCAGGGCUCAACCUGGGAAUUGCAUUUGAGACUGCGUAGCUAGGGUGCGGAAGAGGGAAGCGGAAUUUCCGGUGUAGCGGUGAAAUGCGCAGAUAUCAGGAGGAACACCGGUGGCGAAGGCGGAUCUCUGGGCCUUACCUGACGCUCAGGCACGAAAGCUAGGGGAGCGAACAGG